rnacentral:rRNA from 1 species
CGAUUGGAUGAAAAAUAAACUUUAUUAAUUAAAAUUAUUUAAUUUAUCAUUUAAGUAAAAAUUCUUAAAUUUGUGAGUGGGACGAGAAGACCCUAUAGAGUUUUAUUUUUUUUGUUGUUAUUAAAUUAAAGAAUUAAUAUUUUGAUGAAAACAGAAAAUAUUUUGUUGGGGUGACAUUAAAAAUUUUUAAACUUUUAAUUAUUAAUUUCAUUAAUGUAUGAUUUUAUUGAUCCAAAAUUUUUGAUUAUAAGAUUAAAUUACCUUAGGGAUAACAGCGUUAUUAAUUUGGAGAGUUCAAAUCGAUAAAUUAGUUUGCGACCUCGAUGUUGGAUUAAGAAAA